rnacentral:rRNA from 1 species
GAUCCUGGCUCAGAUUGAACGCUGGCGGAAUGCUUUACACAUGCAAGUCGAACGGUAGAGGGGGCAACCCCUUGAGAGUGGCGAACGGGUGAGUAAUAUAGUCGGAACGUGCCCAGUCGUGGGGAUAACGUAGCGAAAGUUACGCUAAUACCGCAUACGAUCUACGGAUGAAAGCGGGGGACCGUAAGGCCUCGCGCGAUUAGAGCGGCCGAUAUCUGAUUAGCUUGUUGGUGGGGGUAAAAAGCCCUACCAAGGCGACGAUCAGUAGCUGGUCUGAGAGGACGAUCAGCCACACUGGGACUGAGACACGGCCCCAGACUCCUACGGGAGGCAGCAGUGGGGAAUUUUGGACAAUGGGGGCAACCCUGAUCCAGCAAUGCCGCGUGAGUGAAGAAGGCCUUCGGGUUGUAAAGCUCUUUCGGGCUGGGAAGAAAUCGCACAGGCUAAUACUCUGUGUGGAUGACGGUACCAGCACAAGAAGCACCGGCUAACUACGUG